rnacentral:sRNA from 1 species
AGAAAUAUAUAGUGCCGUAGACAGUAGGAGCGAAAGCUUAAAUUUCCUACCGAGGAACUUAUUGAUAUAAGUUUUUUGAGAGUUCCUACGCAUUAUUUGUGGGAACUUUUUUUA